rnacentral:SRP_RNA from 1 species
AGGAAGGCUGGGUGGACGUGUAUCCCGCCAAUCCGGUCAGAUCCGAAAGGAAGCAGCCGCAGUGGGCUUUUCGCGGGUCAUCCAGUCUUCCGCUA